UAAGGUCAAAUAAGAAAAAAAAGAAAGAUAAAAGGAGGAGGUGGCAUCAAGGGCCUGCCCCGAAAUAGCCAGUGCAUCCGAGCUGAAGCAAAAAACAAAGAAAGAAAGGAAGGGGGCGCUGCCUUAUUUCCCCCGCGGGUUAGAAAAGCCACCGAAGAACGAGGGACUGGGCACUUGCUACCUAGGGCCGACACCACCGCCUCCCCCGUGUCUGGCAUUCGACAACAUCGGCUCCACCUGAGCUCCGACUUCAUCAGAGCGGAUGCCUACGAAGUAGACCAACGCCUCCCGCAUGCUUCUCUGACGAUUUCAAGGCCAGAUCAGUGGUCCCGAUUCCUCCCAUGCACCCGUGCGCCUCCGGCAUCGAGCUCGGCCAGGUCGGUGGCCCCUAGCUCCUCCAGAUCCGAGUUCUCUCGUACCUCCAAUUGAUGAUUCCUAUCCUUUCGACCUCACUGAAUCUGGGCUUUCGAGGCCACGGCCAUAAGGUCUUCUUUGUGCAUGCCUCCGAUCUCAUCGAGGUCCAGACUUUUGGGAUGUCCCCUCACUCGUGCCUAUCCUCUAUCAGCAUCGACCUCAUCGAGAUCCGAACUUUCGAGCUCUCCCCGCUCACACCUUUGAGUCGACGGUCGUGUGGUGGUUGGAUCCCGAUCCCCAAGCAGGAAAAGGAAGGCUUGAAUCCUAUCUCCGAUUUACUGUGGACGAGUCUCUCUGCUCACACCUCGCCCCAUUGGCAUCAAGCUCAUCGAAUCAUCUGAGGAUCCGAGCUUCUCCGCUCAUGGCCUCGGAGCCUUUUUCUAUCGAAAUUACCUAUGGGCCUAACACUUCCAUCGAAGCGGAUGACAUCCUCCAAUGGUCCACCUUGCAGCCAAGCUCAGCAUCCCACGGCACCAAGGAUCUUGCUCCUACUUGUCUAGCCAAGGCGGAUCCGAUCAAGAUCCCAGACCCCGCGUGCAAGUCUGAGGCCUCCUGCACAUCGACACCGCGGCAACCUCUGCCGCCGCUAAUCUCACCGCCACCGCCUCUGCACUCGGAGGUGCAUGGGACGACGAGAGCUCCAGAUCAGAUGUAGAAGCGGGGCAAGUGAGGUUGGGCAUCAUUCAUAUAUUUCUUGGCUCUGAGAUCACAGGUGGUUACCAAACUUUUCCCCGACAGGCCUUCUUACCGCAACAUGGUUUAUGACAUCGAAGGUCGAACCCACUAAUUCCAGAGCUAGCAAC
rnacentral:lncRNA from 1 species